rnacentral:rRNA from 1 species
GUGAGGAAUCUUGCGCAAUGGGCGAAAGCCUGACGCAGCGACGCCGCGUGGGGGAUGAAGGCUUUCGGGUUGUAAACCCCUUUUGGAAGGAAAGAACUCCGGGAGGAUGAAUAAGCCUCCUGGUUUGACGGUACCUUCAGAAAAAGCCACGGCUAACUCUGUGCCAGCAGCCGCGGUAAGACAGAGGUGGCAAGCGUUGUUCGGAGUUACUGGGCGUAAAGCGCACGUAGGCGGUACGGUAAGGCCUGUGUAAAAUACCAUCGCUCAACGAUGGAAGGACGCGGGCAACUGCUGUACUAGAGGAUGGGAGAGGAAAGUGGAAUUCCCGGUGUAGCGGUGAAAUGCGUAGAUAUCGGGAGGAAGGCCGGUGGCGAAGGCGACUUUCUGGAACAAUCCUGACGCUGAGGUGCGAAAGCGUGGGGAGCAAACAGG